rnacentral:rRNA from 1 species
GACGAACGCUGGCGGCGUGCUUAACACAUGCAAGUCGAGCGGAAAGGCCCUUUCGGGGGUACUCGAGCGGCGAACGGGUGAGUAACACGUGAGUAAUCUGCCCUGGACUCUGGGAUAGCCACCGGAAACGGUGAUUAAUACCGGAUAUGACACCUUGCUGCAUGGUGGGGUGUGGAAAGUUUUUUCGGUCCAGGAUGUGCUCGCGGCCUAUCAGCUUGUUGGUGAGGUAAUGGCUCACCAAGGCUUUGACGGGUAGCCGGCCUGAGAGGGUGUCCGGUCACACUGGGACUGAGACACGGCCCAGACUCCUACGGGAGGCAGCAGUGGGGAAUAUUGGACAAUGGGCGGAAGCCUGAUCCAGCAACGCCGCGUGAGGGAUGACGGCCUUCGGGUUGUAAACCUCUUUCAGUACCGACGAAGCGUGAGUGACGGUAGGUACAGAAGAAGGACCGGCCAACUACGUGCCAGCCGCCGCCGUAAAAC